GAUGAACGCUGGCGGCGUGCCUAAUACAUGCAAGUCGAGCGAACAGAUAAGGAGCUUGCUCCUUUGACGUUAGCGGCGGACGGGUGAGUAACACGUGGAUAACCUACCUAUAAGACUGGGAUAACUUCGGGAAACCGGAGCUAAUACCGGAUAACAUAUUGAACCGCAUGGUUCAAUAGUGAAAGGCGGCUUUGCUGUCACUUAUAGAUGGAUCCGCGCCGUAUUAGCUGGUUGGUAAGGUAACGGCUUACCAAGGCAACGAUACGUAGCCGACCUGAGAGGGUGAUCGGCCACACUGGAACUGAGACACGGUCCAGACUCCUACGGGAGGCAGCAGUAGGGAAUCUUCCGCAAUGGGCGAAAGCCUGACGGAGCAACGCCGCGUGAGUGAUGAAGGUCUUCGGAUCGUAAAACUCUGUUAUCAGGGAAGAACAAAUGUGUAAGUAACUGUGCACAUCUGGACGGUACCUGAUCAGAAAGCCACGGCUAACUACGU
rnacentral:rRNA from 1 species